AAGGGAAAAGAGAGAUAGAGAGAGCAUGUGUAUGCAUGUAUGUGUUUAAGGAUGGGAAGUAGGAAUUCGGGGAAGUGAGAGGAGCAUUGCCAAACCCCACUGCAACUUAGGAGAACUGCAAUUACCAGCCUCACAGUGCAAUUCAGCACUUGUACCUCUUCAGUACUCCCUUCUCUGUUCUUCUUCUUGGAAUUUUGCCAGGAGAUUACAUGCAGCCCUCAACAGCAUUUUUUGGUGGAGCUGUGUCUCACAAAGAUACCCUUCAGAGUUGGGGAGAAGGGAGGAGGAAGGGAAAGCAUACAAGAUGGUAUAAAUAUUUAACAGAGAAGGCAAUUCGGAUGACUUCUGCACGUGGAAUUCAAGAGUAUAAUGAAGGAACUCUGCUUGGAAAAUAACUCCAGACUUUCCCUCUACUUAACACUUUUGUAUUAGUAAAGCAAUCAGUGAUCAA